rnacentral:rRNA from 1 species
CGGGCUUGAAUUGCAGACGAACGAUUCAGAGAUGAAGAGGCCCUUCGGGGCGUCUGUGAAGGUGCUGCAUGGUUGUCGUCAGCUCGUGCCGUGAGGUGUCGGCUUAAGUGCCAUAACGAGCGCAACCCCUAUUCUCGGUUGCCAUCGGGUAAUGCCGGGCACUCCGUGGAGACUGCCACCGUAAGGUGUGAGGAAGGUGGGGACGACGUCAAAUCAGCACGGCCCUUACGUCCGGGGCUACACACGUGUUACAAUGGCCGGUACAGCGAGUCGGCCGCAUGCAAAUGCGGUCCAAUCCUGAAAGCCGGUCCCAGUUCGGACCGGGGUCUGCAACCCGACCCCGCGAAGCCGGAUUCGCUAGUAAUCGCGCAUCAGCCAUGGCGCGGUGAAUACGUUCCCGGGCC